rnacentral:rRNA from 1 species
UACAGAGGGUGCGAGCGUUGUCCGGAAUCACUGGGCGUAAAGGGCGCGUAGGUGGCCUGGUAAGUAGGGGGUGAAAUCUCGUGGCUCAACUGCGAGGCUGCCUCCUAAACUGUCAGGCUCGAGCAGAGUAGAGGCAGGUGGAAUUCCCGGUGUAGCGGUGGAAUGCGUAGAGAUCGGGAAGAACACCAGUGGCGAAGGCGGCUCACUGGCCCGGUACUGACGCUGAGGUGCGAAAGCGUGGGGAGCAAACAGG